rnacentral:lncRNA from 1 species
GAUGAAGAGUCAACUGCCAAGGAAUUUGUAAAAAUUAUUGAAAAUGCAGAAAACGAUUACCAGACGGCCAUCAGCGAGAACUACCAGACGAUGUCGGACACGACAUUCAAAGCUCUGCGCCGGCAGCUUCCUGUUACCCGCACCAAGAUCGACUGGAACAAGAUCCUCAGCUACAAGAUCGGCAAAGAGAUGCAGAACGCCUAGAACCCGCAUGGCCUCACGUGCGCUUUCUGGGGUGUGCCGCCGAAUCGAACGAGUCUUACGAUGCAAACAGGGAAUCUCAGCUGUUCUAUGCACUCUUCUGUCCCGGAGCAGAAAGGGGAGCCGCCAGUGUUGCUGUCGCAUGUUCAUGUCAUGGUACUGUUGGGUGCUUCCCCACUGUAAAUUCACCCUGAACACAGAAGCAUUGUCAAGACUGUGUUUAUAUCACUCUUUUUCUCUCUCUGUCUCUCUCUCUCUGUCUCUCUCUCUUUGUCUCUCUCUCUUCGUCUCUCUCUCUCUCUGUCCUGUAACACGGCUCUUAAUGCUGAUUUUAGCAAAAGUAUGUGCUACUCACAGCUAA